CCAUGCUACACGGGGAGAUAGCGGUUCCUUGUGGCCCGCAAUCCGCUACAGCGGGGUGGAAUCCCCUCCUGAGGGCCGGCUCUUUAGGGUCUGUCCACGUGUGCGGCGUGUUGACACUCUGGUCUCGCGCAACAGGCAGCUCCGAAUCGUGUCAGGUCUUGACGGAAGCAGCACUAAGGAGUUUGCUCUGUGUGCCGUGAGGGUGCUGGGGGAGAGCGCCGGCUCGUGGGUAACGCUUAGGGAUACCGGUUCGAGGGAGGGUGCAUGG
rnacentral:SRP_RNA from 1 species